AGCGUACGUUAACGUCUACUGCGUGUGCGUCAAUCGGUGACUGUUUCUCUAGAAUAAAGUACCUUCUCCUGAUCAUGCAGCAAGCAAGCAUAUUGUUCAAAUUCGUCGUCUUGCUCCAUGAAUUCUAUAUAUUGCAAAUGAUAAAACAAAACGUAUGAGGUGGAUCACCUGCUGCAGAUCAUCAGAGAAAAUGGGUAUACGGUGUUGAUACAGGUUAGGAAAUUUAAAGGUAAGAGUGAAGGUGAGGAUAAAAGAGAACUUUGAAAUGAUUGAGUGACAUGGUGGGUGAGGAGAGUCCACCACUUCAAUCACUGCACUAGAACAGGAAGUAAUGGUCUCAGUGGUAAAGAGUCUACAGUGGUGUAUUCGAUCAAAUUUUGAUUUGGUCUGAAAGUAUUUUGCAAUUUAUUGACAUUGUCAGAGGCAGUUCAACAUUGGGCAUUUGCAGCAAAAUCAUCACUUUAGAGUAUUAUGGGAGGACAACUUAGUGAUGAUUUCAAGGACCUGCUUUAAAGUGAGGCUUAGGAAUCCGGAUUUUGUCAUGUGUCACAAUGGCAUAGCUAAAAAACAUUACUUUUGCUUAAACUUAAUUAAUUAAUGCAUAUACAGCAUUGACACUCAGUCAAUUACAAUAGUUAAUUCGCAGCAUCUCCUAGUCAUAACCACUUAACAUAACAUAACCACAUCACAGUAUGUACAUCUUAAUACUUUGAAGGUUAUGCAGAAUUAUGAGUCACUUGUCUUUUCAACAUCACUUAUG